GACAGAGGGUGCAAACGUUGUUCGGAAUUACUGGGCGUAAAGCGCGUGUAGGCGGUUCGGAAAGUCGGAUGUGAAAGCCCUGGGCUCAACCCAGGAAGUGCACUCGAAACUCCCGAACUGGAGUCCUGGAGAGGAAGGCGGAAUUCUCGGUGUAGAGGUGAAAUUCGUAGAUAUCGAGGGGAACAUCGGUGGCGAAGGCGGCCUUCUGGACAGCGACUGACGCUGAGACGCGAAAGCGUGGGGAGCAAACAGG
rnacentral:rRNA from 1 species